rnacentral:rRNA from 1 species
ACAAUGGAGAGUUUGAUCCUGGCUCAGGAUUAACGCUAGCGGCAGGCCUAAUACAUGCAAGUCGAACGGGAUUUCGGGUAGCAAUAUCUGAAUGAGAGUGGCGCACGGGUGCGUAACGCGUAUGCAAUCUACCUUUAACUGGGGAAUAGCCCUCCGAAAGGAGGAUUAACACCGCAUAAUACUAUGAUGGGGCAUCUCAAUGUAGUCAAAACUCAGGUGGUUAAAGAUGAGCAUGCGUCCGAUUAGCUAGUUGGUGAGGUAAUGGCUCACCAAGGCGACGAUCGGUAGGGGGUCUGAGAGGAUGAUCCCCCACACUGGUACUGAGACACGGACCAGACUCCUACGGGAGGCAGCAGUAAGGAAUAUUGGACAAUGGGCGCAAGCCUGAUCCAGCUAUGCCGCGUGAAGGAUGACGGCCCUAUGGGUUGUAAACUUCUUUUAGCAGGGAAAAAACCCCUCGAUGCGUUGAGGGCUGAUGGUACCUGCAGAAUAAGGAUCGGCUAACUCCGUGCCAGCAGCCGCGGUAAUACGGAGGAUCCAAGCGUUAUCCGGAUUUAUUGGGUUUAAAGGGUGCGUAGGCGGAUAAAUAAGUCAGU